rnacentral:misc_RNA from 1 species
GAUGAAGAACGUAGCGAAAUGCGAUAAGUAAUGUGAAUUGCAGAAUUCAGUGAAUCAUCGAAUCUUUGAACGCACAUUGCGCCCGCCAGCACUCUGGCGGGCAUGCCUGUUCGAGCGUCAUUUCAACCCUCAGGCCCCCAGUGCCUGGUGUUGGGGAUCGGCCCAGCCUUCCUGUAAGGCCGCCGGCCCCGAAAUCUAGUGGCGGUCUCGCUGUAGUCCUCCUCUGCGUAGUAGCACAACCUCGCAGUUGGAACGCGGCGGUGGCCAUGCCGUUAAACACCCCACUUCUGAAAGUUGACCUCGGAUCAGGUAGGAAUACCCGCUGAACUUAAGCAUAUCAAUAAGCGGAGGA